AUUGAACGCUGGCGGCAGGCCUAACACAUGCAAGUCGAGCGGAUGAAGGGAGCUUGCUCCUGGAUUCAGCGGCGGACGGGUGAGUAAUGCCUAGGAAUCUGCCUGGUAGUGGGGGAUAACGUCCGGAAACGGGCGCUAAUACCGCAUACGUCCUGAGGGAGAAAGUGGGGGAUCUUCGGACCUCACGCUAUCAGAUGAGCCUAGGUCGGAUUAGCUAGUUGGUGGGGUAAAGGCCUACCAAGGCGACGAUCCGUAACUGGUCUGAGAGGAUGAUCAGUCACACUGGAACUGAGACACGGUCCAGACUCCGACGGGAGGCAGCAGUGGGGAAUAUUGGACGAUGGGCGAAAGCCUGAUCCAGCCAUGCCGCGUGUGUGAAGAAGGUCUUCGGAUGGUAAAGCACUUUAAGUUGGGAGGAAGGGCAGUAAGUUAAUACCUUGCUGUUUUGACGUUACCAACAGAAUAAGCACCGGCUAACUUCGUG
rnacentral:rRNA from 1 species